CCACAACUUUUCUUCAUACUUAAAUUCUUUUUUUUAUUAUUAUUAUAAUAUAAUUUUAAAAGCUCGAGCUCGAUGCUUGACUCCUUAUCAAAUAAAUAAAUGGAUCGACAGGAUACGUGACAUGCGGACGUGGCAGGAACGAAAAUUUACUUAAAAAUAUAUAGAAUUUUUGGACAUUCUACGGGCAGGAUCGAAAAUCCGCUCCGAAAUAAAUUUGCACGCAUCCUUUUUAGUUACUGAAUGAUUGUUUUACAUCAAUUAAAUGCAUAUUUGAUCGUAGAAAAUCAAAACCAAGUUGGCGCGAGUCCAGUAUUUCGCGCGGGCUGGAGGUAAAAGUUUUGGCGACUAAAUUUUGGUUCCUAAAGGUUCAUUAGUAGCGACUAAACCAAUUUAGUCGCGAAAAGUAUGAAUGCAGGGAAACCAAAUAAAAAAAAACCUAAUUCCAUUCUUCUCCUUUUCACCCGCACGUCGCCUUCACCCCGCCUUCACCCUGCCUUCACCCGCACGUCUGCACGUCGGCAUCGCCCGUUCGCCGGUUCGCCCGUUCGGUCAUCCCUUCGGCGUCGGAGUCCCAAGGUACGUUCUCUUCUCGAUUUUAAUUUAGCAGAGGCCGGGAGGGAGAGGGAGAGGGGAGAGGGAGAGGGAGAGGGAGAGGUGGCCGGAGGUCGUCGGGAAAUUAGGAGGCC
rnacentral:lncRNA from 1 species